CUUGCUAACGGCUUGAACGGUAAUAAUAUCGAUUU
rnacentral:rRNA from 13 species